GAUGAACGCUGGCGGCGUGCCUAAUACAUGCAAGUCGAGCGAACGGACGAGAAGCUUGCUUUUCUGAUGUUAGCGGCGGACGGGUGAGUAACACGUGGAUAACCUACCUAUAAGACUGGGAUAACUUCGGGAAACCGGAGCUAAUACCGGAUAAUAUUUUGAACCGCAUGGUUCAAAAGUGAAAGACGGUCUUGCUGUCACUUAUAGAUGGAUCCGCGCUGCAUUAGCUAGUUGGUAAGGUAACGGCUUACCAAGGCAACGAUGCAUAGCCGACCUGAGGGGGUGAUCGGCCACACUGGAACUGAGACACGGUCCAGACUCCUACGGGAGGCAGCAGUAGGGAAUCUUCCGCAACGGGCGAAAGCCUGACGGAGCAACGCCGCGUGAGUGAUGAAGGUCUUCGGAUCGUAAAACUCUGUUAUUAGGGAAGAACAUAUGUGUAAGUAACUGUGCACAUCUUGACGGUACCUAAUCAGAAAGCCACGGCUAACUACGUG
rnacentral:rRNA from 1 species